UACGGCGGAUCCAAGCGUUAUCCGGAAUCAUUGGGUUUAAAGGGUCCGUAGGCGGGCGUGUAAGUCAGGGGUGAAAGUUUGUGGCUCAACCAUAAAAUUGCCUUGAUACUGCAUGUCUUGAGUCAUGGUGGGGUCGCCGGAACAUGUGGUGUAGCGGUGAAAUGCAUAGAUAUCACAUAGAACACCGAUCGCGAAGGCAGGUGGCCAACCAUGUACUGACGCUGAUGGACGAAAGCGUAGGUAGCGAACAGG
rnacentral:misc_RNA from 1 species